GAUGAAGAACGUAGUGAAAUGCGAUACGUAAUGUGAAUUGCAGAAUUCAGUGAAUCAUCGAGUCUUUGAACGCACAUUGCGCCCCCUGGUAUUCCGGGGGGCAUGCCUGUCCGAGCGUCAUUGCUGCCCUCAAGCACGGCUUGUGUGUUGGGCCUCCGUCCUCCUCCCGGGGGACGGGCCCGAAAGGCAGCGGCGGCACCGCGUCCGGUCCUCGAGCGUAUGGGGCUUCGUCACCCGCUCUUGUAGGCCCGGCCGGCGCUUGCCGACACAUCAAUCUUUUUUCCAGGUUGACCUCGGAUCAGGUAGGGAUACCCGCUGAACUUAAGCAUAUUAAUAAGCGGAGGA
rnacentral:misc_RNA from 1 species